AGAUAGCCCAUCCCUGACUUCUGCCUAAGCACCAAUUGGUGCCAGUCAUCUGCCCCCAAGAGCCUCAAUGACCAAGACACAGGACCCAGCAGUUAUUGUCACUCUUCCCCACAGCCCGAAAACCAAAUGUGAGCCCAAAACUCAAGGAAAGGUUUAGAAAACUUUGCCAAAAAAAUGGAAUUACUAAGAAAAACAUACUGGACUUGACCAAAGUCGAUCGCUGUCUCCAGGCUCGAGGGAGCCAUGAUGCCCAGGCCUCCAGUGCUGAGUGAAUGCUUCCUCACCUGGGCUCCAGGAUCUUCAUUCCAUGGUCCCUGUGUCAGCCUGUGAAAAGGUCUGCAACCUGAUCUCCAUCACUAUCAUCCAAGAAGGCCUUAUCUCUGAAUCUAAAGGAUCUUCUCUAAUUGUCUAGACAGACUCAACAAUUCACCAAGAAUCAAAGGUUUCCUCCAAAUUUCUGACUCUGUUUGCCAUACCCAGCACUCUACCGUGAAUAAGACCUCCUGAACCUGAUCAAUAAAUGAUUA